AAUAUUCUAGAGAUAGGAAAUACGAAAAAAAGCUACAUAGUUGAUGAUACAGAAGAAAGGGCUCUUUAAACAAGAUAUGCUAAUAUGCUGUAUGGUGGAAAAAUUUCAUUGGACGCUUGCAAUAAUCAAACCAGGUAAUAAAACAAUUCACUCUAUGGACCCUAUGGGAGAACAGACAAAUUCCAUCAAAAAAGAAGAAGUGAAAUGGAAUUGUUACUUACAACAAAGAUAUGGCGUUUCAGAAAAGU